rnacentral:misc_RNA from 1 species
GAUGAAGAAACGCAGCGAAAUGCGAUAAGUAGUGUGAAUUGCAGAAUUCAGUGAAUCAUCGAAUCUUUGAACGCACAUUGCGCCCCUUGGUAUUCCAUGGGGCAUGCCUGUUCGAGCGUCAUUUGUACCUUCAAGCUCUGCUUGGUGUUGGGUGUUUGUCUCGCCUCUGCGUGUAGACUCGCCUCAAAACAAUUGGCAGCCGGCGUAUUGAUUUCGGAGCGCAGUACAUCUCGCGCUUUGCACUCAUAACGACGACGUCCAAAAGUACAUUUUUACACUCUUGACCUCGGAUCAGGUAGGGAUACCCGCUGAACUUAAGCAUAUCAAUAAGCGGAGGA